AACGAACGCUGGCGGCAGGCUUAACACAUGCAAGUCGAGCGCCCCGCAAGGGGAGCGGCCGAGGGGUGAGUAACGCCUGGGAAUCUACCCAUCCCUACGGAAGAGCCGCGGGAAACCGGAGUUAAUUCCGAAUACGCCCUGCGGGGGCAAAAUUUAUCGGGGAUGGAUGAGCCCGGGUUGGAUUAGCGAGUUGGUGGGGUAAAGGCCUACCAAGGCGACGAUCCAUAGCUGGUCUGAGAGGAUGAUCAGCCACAUUGGGACUGAGACACGGCCCAAACUCCUACGGGAGGCAGCAGUGGGGAAUAUUGGACAAUGGGGGCAACCCUGAUCCAGCCAUGCCGCGUGAGUGAUGAAGGCCUUAGGGUUGUAAAGCUCUUUCACCGGGGAAGAUAAUAACGGUACCCGGAGAAGAAGCCCCGGCUAACUUCGUGCCAGCCGCCGCGGUAA
rnacentral:rRNA from 1 species